GUAAGCAACAGGGACUGCUGUAGAAGCUUUAGCACAGAAAUAGGAUGACAAACUUUAGUCAGACAAAAUCUGAGUUCAAGGCCGUGUUCUGUGUUAGCUGUGUGACUGGGAACCACCGUUAAACCUGCUGAGAUUGUUUCCUCCUCUAUAAAAUGUGUUCAACAGCAAUAUCAAUGUAUAACAUUGAAAGGCUUAAAUGAGAUUUUACUAAAGCACCUGAGAUAUAGUUAGCAUUUACUAUAUGAUAGAGGUUGUUGCUGUUACUACUGCUACUACCACCACCACUGCUACCACAACAGCACUUAAGGAAGGAUGAUAAUCUGGAGAAAAACAGCUAACAGAUAUUUCGUGAAGACAUGAAAUGAGAUGGCAUAGAUAGAUAGAUAGAUAGAUAGAUAGAUAGAUAGAGUUAUAUGCCAUUUGGUUAUAUAUACAUAAUCAAAACUUGACUCUGGGAGUAUAGAUGAAUAAAGGUGAAUUAGAAUCUAGUAUAAAGAGAGAAGAUCGGAGAAUGAGGAUUGACACAUCUGGGGCACCCACAGUUGGGGAGCGGGACACGGGAGAGAGUCAGUGACAGACACAAGGAAAAUGCAGAGGAAGAGGUAAGAUGGUCACGUAGACCACAGCAGUCAGGUAACAGAAGAGGUUCCUCAAAAGGCUAGGGAGGUCUACUGUGCCCAGGGCUGCUGUGGGGAGAAAAGAUUGAGGACUAGGAAAAGGCUUGUGCAGUUGGGGCAGUGACAACAUGGAACACAGACUGGGAGGAACCAGGUGGGAAUAAAAGACACUGGCCACAGCCACAGGCACUGCUCAUUCAUCUGAGGUGUAAGUAUAGAGAGAGAACUCGGCUGUGGCUUGGAAGUAACAGCAAGACAAAGAAGGAGGUUAUUUUUAGUUCUUGGAGAGGCCAAUACCGCUGGUAAUCAUGAGCGAGCUUCAGUUCAUCUCUACCCCUUACUAUGGUGCAACUCCUCAUGGACUGGUUCCUGAGCCUGCACCCUCUUAGGGUGCAGGUUAGUCCUGCACUUAGUCUGGCUUCUGUUAACUUGUUUUCUCUUUCAGGUCUCACUGUUGCUAACCCCACUCAUCAACUUGAUCUGUUUGCCCCCAAUCCCACCAUUUUGCAUGACAUUAUGGAUCCUCUGAUCUUUAACAAAUCCAUCCAAGAUUGUCUGUUUCUUCUUCUAAGGUGUCACCAGGAAUGAAGAUUCUUUCACCUAAUUUAUUUUUUUCUGGUUUCACACGUGUCUGAAAAAAUAAUAGCAAUUAUUAUUAUUAUCAUUGUAGGAUUCAUUUCACUCCUCUCAAACACAUUCAAAAAGUCUCUUCAUCUCUUCCAUCAUGGUGAUGCUCAACUGUUACCCAACUAUCCAACUGUAUCUUGGAGUUUUGUAAUUCCAUCAUGAGUUGUACUCAACUGUUAUCCAACAUAUCUUGGAGCAUGCACCAGGAUGCUCCCUGACACAGCUCACUUUGCAAGUAAUUCUUAGACACACACUUUCUCCACCAGGCCUGUCUAGUUGAAGUUCUCUAUAUCCCUGCCCCCCUCCCCACCCUGGUUAAGCAUAGGACUUCCAUGGUUACAUCCCAUUUAUUCCUUUCCCAAACAUGCUUAAUGCAUUUCAUCUCCAGUUACAAACAUCGUCUGCUAAUGAACAAUGUAGAUAGUUACCAUGUUGUAUAAAUAGUUACUUAUUUCCCUUCGUUGUUGGUUUUAUCCAAUAAACUAGCCCGAUCAGCUUCAUUUUAUAUCACCUUAUCUCAUACAGAUGAGAAACUGUAUGUAUUUCAGCCUGUCUAAACUGGAGGUAACGCUAGACUGCAGUAUCCCUGCACAGUGUCGUAUUAGAAAUGGCACCCUAUAAAUUUUUUAUGAGUUAAUAAUGAUUGUGAUCCCAUUCCUAUUUUCUACAAGUUCUUCUGUUAUGGUGGCAAUUAAAUAGCCUCACCUUCCUUUCACUUUCUGCAAACCUGCUGCAAGUCAUCAUUAACUUUCUUAAUUGGUAGCGGCUCUGAAUUCCAGUCUUUCAGAGUUCCCGUAAACAGCAUCUUUCUUAAUACUUAUGUCAUAAUGUUUUUCUCCUUUCCUUGCAUUUCAUUCUGCCUUUGGGCAGGAACAGCAUCAUUUCCUGCUCUUCUGGGGUUUCAACACUGACUGCAAAGCACCCUUGCUCAUCUCACUGGGAGAUUCUGCAGCCAAGCAGAGAUUUGCAUAAAGCCCAUCCACCCUUCACCAGCACAGGAUACGCAGACUUAACUGCAGGGACUCUUGGUGACUAGUCUCUGUGGUGCACACUCUCCACCCUACCACCAAAAAGGUCCCCAGUACCCUAAAAGGAACUAUGUACUCAAAUAUCACCUCAAAUAAGAUGAGGUCUUUCUGAGAGAAAAGAGAUGUUGAUGCACGUGACGGGGAGGGCAUAGGAGAGGGUUGAUAUAAAAUGCAAUUACAGCCUCUUAUGCUUUCCAAAGUGGGGGAUGAUUCAAUGAUUCCUGACUGGUCCACAGCCAUAUAUCAAUUGAGGUUAUAAUACUAAUUUGAAUUGCAAAUCUCUGAAAAGAAGGGGACAAGCUAAGGAGAUAAAAUUUAACAGGCCUCUUCCUCCUGCUUGCCACCUCUCAGUCACAAGACGGCUGCUGCGACUCAGGCUCAUGUCCCAAUUCAAGGCAGCAAGAAGGCCAUGGAGCGGCACCUGCCAGCAGAUGCCCCUGCAGGCCAUCUCUCCAGGCUCAGGAACCUAAAGAAGAAUCUACCCAGAUGUGGUGGCUCACACCUGUGAUCCCACCACUUUGGGAGGCUGAGGCAAGAGGAUCACUUGAGCCCAGGAGUUGGAGACCAACGUAGGCAAUACAGCAAGACUCCCAUCUCUACAAAAAAAAAAAAGAAAGAAAGAAAGAAAGAAAAGAAAUUAGCUGGCUGUGGUGCUGCACAUUUGUAAUACCAGCUACUCUAGAGGCUGAGGCUGGAGGAUCACUUGAGCCGAGGAGUGAGCUAUGACCACACCAUUGCAUUUCAGCCUCAGUGACAGAGCAAGGCCCUGCCUCAAAAAAAAAAAAAAAAAAAGAAAAGAAUAAGAUAAAAUAAAUAAUACAGGAGAACCUAGUGCUCAGGUUCUCUAGUGAAGAGGAAGGCAAAAGAUAGAAAGGUCAGACAAACUUAAACAUGCAUUCCAAGAUCGGCCUGGGUCCGCCCGUAGACAUGAAGGAAUCUUCUGGUGGAAAGUUAGGCAGGGAAACGGACACUGCUAUGAGCAUGUCUUCCUGGGCAGCUUGCGAUGGUCAGGAGGAGGUGGUUGUUCCUCAGCAGCGGUGCUUCCGAUGAAGCCCCAUGUUGUAGUGGAAGACAAGCCAUUCCUGUCUGACCUUCUGUGCCGCGCCUAGGCUUCCAAAAGCUGCUAUCGCCAAGAUCCAUUUCCGUUCACCUUUAAACUGCUUGUUAUGGGGAGGAGUCAGCCAGCCAUGAUGCAUACUUGUUACAGAAAGAAACGCCCACGUUGAGCUCUCCUGAUAAGAAGAGAGAGCAUUCGUCAUUGUCUGUAUCUGUCAUCUGAAGAAGGAACCAAUGUCAAAAAUCCCACACAUUCUCCUCCCGCAAGUCACAGAGUAAGCCUCCCAUUCUUGAGCUCGUUCAUUCACCAAACACAUUCUGAUCUCUCCUGUGCCCAGGCGGUGGGAUUCAGAGAAGAAGUGCUGCCUAGUAGUCAGCACCCAGUGCCAGGAAAACAGGACAAGGGGAGUUGUCGGGGGAGACACCAGGAUUGAAGUUGCUUUUACUAAAAAACAUUUUUUUUAUCUUGUUAACAAAUAUAUUUACCAUGGUACAUGGUGGCAAUGCUCUCAGUUUUAAAACACAGCAAUUAUCUUCCAGUGGUCACUAAUUAAUCCAGGUGUGGCUAGGAACAGCUGGAUACUGAUCUGUGUGAUGAUGGCACCUCUAUCAUCAGGCUGCCAUUGCUGGCACUUUGGGCAAGGUGGACUGGGGUUCUGCUCUGGGGCUGUGUGCCCAAGGUUUACACCUCACUAUUUUACAGCACACUGGAGCUCCCAACAGUCCCCGAAGGUCUGGAGAUCACCAAUGGGCAGGAGAGAAGGGAGGGGUUUAGACAUCAGGGAGCCAAGUUCUACAGCAUCUUCUAGAUCCAGGCUAUCGAGCACUUGAAAUGCGGCUAAGUCUGAAUUGAGAUGUGCUGUGUGUAAGAGACACAACAGAUUUUGAAGACAGUAUGAGAAAAAGAACAUAAAAUAUCUCAGUAAUUUUAUAUUGAUUACAUGUUGAAAUGAUACUAAUUUUUGAUAUACUGGGUUAAAUAAAAUAGAUUAUUAAAAUUAACU
rnacentral:lncRNA from 10 species